rnacentral:rRNA from 1 species
GGUAAGUAGGUGACAGUGGGGGGGGUAAUACAGGAGGGGUAAGGUGUAAUCGGGAUUACUGGGCGUAAAUCGCGCGUAGGUGGUUUGUUAAGUUGGAUGUGAAAGCCCCGGGCUCAACCUGGGAACUGCAUCCAAAACUGGCAAGCUAGAGUACGGUAGAGGGUGGUGGAAUUUCCUGUGUAGCGGUGAAAUGCGUAGAUAUAGGAAGGAACACCAGUGGCGAAGGCGACCACCUGGACUGAUACUGACACUGAGGUGCGAAAGCGUGGGGAGCAAACAGGAUUAGAUACCCCAGUAGUC